CCGCCUGAGGCGCCAUGGCCGGGGAGAGGGCGCCCCCUGCAGGCCGCGGUGGUGAGGCGGGAGCUGAGGGAGCCGGGGCGAAAUCGGCGCUAAGAAACGGAGCCGCAAAAGGAAUUAUUUGAAAUUAUUUGAAAUGACGAUUAAAUUUAAAAAGAGCCGAGUGUGACGCUGUGGAGAAACACGACAGUGACACAAAUAGGAAUGUUAAAAGCACGAUAAAACAAUGCAGCUCGCUCUGCUGUUUCCGCGCAAACUGUUUCUGCCGUGAGACGCUACAAAGAGAAAAAUUAAACUUAAUAGAGUUUUCCAAGAACCGUUGUCAGCUCGUGUUCACAGCGUUUCGUGAAGGAAUUGCCCUCCAGUGCUUUAAGUUAUUAUACAGUUAAUUUUCUUUGAAACUAUUUUUGUCUGCCUCUCUCUAAAUAGGUGGUUUCUUAAGAUUAAAAAAAUUGGAGUUAUGUGCAGUUUUCAACUGUCCAAGUAAAGCAUUGCAUUUUUACAGCUAAAUGUUCCUUGUGUCCUGAAGAGAACACGGAGAACUUUGCAACGCCAAUGACAUUGUUCUGCUUUAACUCCUCAUCCUUUAAUCCUCACAGCAUACCUGCCAGACAGGCAUCUGUGCUAACUCCUCUACAAAUCCCCACAAAUUUCUCAUGGAAAACGUUCAUAGGAAGUUUUGCAAGUUACCAACACACAAUCAUAGCACGUGUCCAACUUCUGCACUGCGGAAGUGAUGAGCACAAUCUGGGUGAAGUCCUCCAGAAAUCAAAGUCACCUUCCUGCCUUAAUUCUCAGCACCCAUGUGCAGACUUCCAGUGGAGCUGUUUGUUUAAACAGAGCUCAUUUUCAAGCAGUGAUGGCUGCACAGAGAUCUUGAAAGAAAUCUGAUUUAUUAUCUUUCAAGACAGACAUCUGCAAACUGAAGCCCCAGAACUCUUGAGACACUCCCCUAAAAGCUGCUGCCUUUCUUUGUGACUCGUCCAUGCACGCCUGCCUCCUACCUCCACCACUGAGCAUCCUGAAACUGCUGAUUCUUCUUUUUAAACAGUGUCAAAUCUAUUCAAAACUUCAAAUGUACCUCAGAGGAUGGUAAAGGCAACAACUUACUGCAAUUUCCCUUGACAGAAAAUAGAACUGGCUGGGUGAUAGCCACACAAAUUGACAGUUCCUUCCUCUUCUCUCCAUGAUGUUCACAGUUACAAGUAGUUGGAUGUGCCAUAGCAAACCUUUGGAGCACUCCCCAGCCUGUUUCAGGCUGAGCUGCUGAACAGAGAUGAGAGGAAGUCAAAUGGUAGAUACAGAACUGUCUCCACAGAGGAAGAAAGCUCAGAGCACGUUUUGGGUGCCUUCCAGUGGCUCCAGGCAGAAGAGGAUGGCUCCAGAACAGCCACGCACAAACCUUUGUUCAGAGAAGUCCAAAGAAAGGCAAAAACAGAGAGGGUUGUUCUGAGACAAGUCUGGUUCCCUUUAUAAUCACCAAGUCAUAAAAUAGUUCCUUUGAUUCAGAAAUCCCACAAAGGUUCUCUCUAUAGCAGAAAGCCCAGCACAUAGUUGGGCUUUCACAAGAGCUCCUAAUCCUCCUCAUAAUUAGGGAAGAGGGACUGUUCCUGGGCAUUUUUAAUACUCUCAGACUGGAAAAGGGUGCCUACCCCAAACAAACUGCUAUUCAAACUUUCACUUCCAUGGAACUUGUGACUUACUCUCAACAGAAAGGAGGCACAAGGAUGCAGCAAAUCCUGAUUGCAAACAAAACAGCUUCUAGCACAGACCUCAUGAAAGAGGAAGGCUGAAAGAAAAGACAGAACUGAAAAAGCUGUGACAUUGAUAAGUUUUGAACAUUUUUUGAAGCUCCCCUUCACAUCCUUCCAGUUUCUCCAAGGCACAUCCACCACAGGAACAGCAUGGACAGAGCAGUUCUUACAGACUGUUUUACCUUUACACAUUAUUUGUCACAUGUUUCCACACACACCCAAAAAGCAGACACAAAUCUGUGCCAUCAGCUUCCCACUGCCUUGUUCCCACAUUUCUCCUCAAGCAGUAUUUACUGUAGAUAUCCAGAUGUGCUUUGUGACCAAGGCAAAUGAGCAAUGAGAAUUUUAGGCAACAAAAUUCUUUGAAUACAGACCAGUUUACUGACUGUAUGCUACAUGGAAAUAAAACUUGAAGACCCCCAACCUUUCAGUUUUGAGUAGAAAUUAUUAACACACCUGUGACAGCAUCACUUACUUAAAGCAAGCUGCAAAACUAGAACUGUCUUUCCAAAAUGUUUCCACCUUGGCGCAUUCCUGCAUACAUAAAGUAUUUUUGCACAAUAUCCACAACAUUUUAUGAAGUUCAUAUUCCCCUCAUGAGGGAAAGAAAGGAAGAGAGUGGAUUUACCAUGGAGAGGGGAGCCAGAGGGGCUGCUGGACAGGCCGGGCACGGGGCUGC